UUUUAAAUUCUAAUUUAAUAGAAGUCAAGUUAUGAUCUGAGAGAUAACUUAAAAAUGGAAAGUUAUUUAGAAACAAGAUAAAAGGCAAAACACCAAACUUCAUACAAACUUAAAUGUUUGACAUUUAAAAAUUAAAGAGAUUUUUUUUUAAGUGUAUUUGAGACAAAUAAGCCAACCUUGGUACAUAACCGCUGAAAACUAAAAAACCGUACCCUAAACCAACACAGGUGGAUAGGUCGAGUAGACUAAGGUGUAUGAGAUAAUUAUGUUGAAGGAACUCGGCAAAAUGACUCUGUAACUUCGGGAGAAAGAGUACCUUUUUAUUUAAAUGUUUAUCGACGAAAUAAUAAGAAG
rnacentral:rRNA from 1 species